rnacentral:rRNA from 1 species
GACGAACGCUGGCGGCGUGCCUAACACAUGCAAGUCGAACGCUGAAGCGAUGAGCUUGUUCUUUUUGGAUUAGUUGCGAACGGGUGAGUAACGCGUAGAUAACCUGCUUUGUAUUGGGGGAUAAUUAUUGGAAACGACAUAUAAUACCACAUAACAAUGCAUGCCACAGUUCAUUUAUGUGAAUGGGGCCAUUUCUGCACUAAAGAGCGGAUCUGCGUUUUAUUAGGUAGUAGGUGAGGUAAAGGCCCACCUAAGGGUCGAUACCUAGUCUGCCUGAGAGGGUGGUCGGCCACACUGGGAAUGAGACCAGGCCCAGACUGCCAAGGGAGGGAGCAAGAGGGAAACGUCGGAAAUGGGGGGAAAACUGAACGAGCAACGCCGCGGUGGGGAAGAAGGGCUUCGGGUCGGAAAGGUCUGUUUUUAGGGAAGAAAGAGCGUGAGGGUGGAAAGCUGACGCUGUGACGGUAGCUAACCAGAAAGCAACGGCUAACUACGUG